GGUUGGAUGGCCGAGCGGUCUAAGGCGCUGGUUUAAGGGACCAGUGUGGCGACACUCGCGGGUUCGAAUCCCGCUCCAAUCA
rfam:Vittaforma corneae ATCC 50505 unplaced genomic scaffold supercont1.25, whole genome shotgun sequence.